ACGUAGGGUAGCAAGCGUUGUCCGGAUUUAUUGAUCGUAAAGAGCUCGUAAGCGGUUAUUCACGUCGGAUGUGAAAACCCAGUGCUUAACACUGGGACUGCAUUCUAUACGGUGUGACUAUAGUGUUGUAGGGGAGACUGGAACUCCUGGUGUAGCGGUGAAAUGCGCAGAUAUCAGGAAGAACACCGGAGGAGAAGGCGGCUCUCUGGGCAACUACUGACGCUGAGGAGCGAAAGCGAGGGGAGCAAACAGGAUUAGAUACCCUGGUAGUCCACGCCGUAAACGGUGGGCGCUAGGUGUGGGGAACAUUCCACGUUCUCCGUGCCGACAACUAACGCAUUAAGCGCCCCGCCUGGGGAGUUCGGCCGCAAGGCUAAAACUCAAAGGAAUUGUCGGGGGCCCGCGCAAGCGGCGGAGCAUGCGGCUUAAUUCGAUGCAACGCGAAGAACCUUACCUAGGCUUGACAGUUGGGGAAAUCCGGCAGAGAUGCCAGGUCCGUAAGGGCCCCAAAACAGGUGGUGCAUGGCUGUCGUCAGCUCGUGUCGUGAGAUGUUGGGUUAAGUCCCGCAACGAGCGCAACCCUCGUCGUAUGUUGCCAGCGGAUAAUUCCGGGGACUCAUACGAGACUUCCGGGGUCAACUCGGAGGAAGGUGGGGACGACGUCAAGUCAUCAUGCCCCUUAAGUCUAGGGCUGCCCGCAUGCUACAAUGGCCGGUACAGAGGGCUGCGAUACCGUAAGGUGGAGCGAAUCCCAAAAAGCCGGUCUCAGUUCGGAUUGGGGUGUGCAACUCGACCCCAUGAAGUCGGAGUCGCUAGUAAUCGCAGAUCAGCAACGCUGCGGUGAAUACGUUCCCGGGCCU
rnacentral:rRNA from 1 species